rnacentral:misc_RNA from 1 species
AAUCAUCAAUCCUCAUCUUUAUUGAUGAGGGCUUGGACUUGGAGGCUCGUGCCGGUUUUGAAUUGAAUCGGCUCCUCUUGAACGCAUUAGCUUGAACCUAUGCCGUAUCGGCUGUUCGGUGUGAUAAUUGUCUACGCCGUGGCUGUGAGGCUUUAAAUUCAUAGGAUCAGCUUCGAACCGUCCCUAUCGAACGGGACAACAUCUUCAUUGAC